rnacentral:rRNA from 1 species
GCCAAGACGUAAAACUACUCACACACGAAACGCCAGGGUAUUACGAGCUUAGCUUGAAACCCAAAGGACUUGACGGUGCCCCACACCACUAGAGGAGCCUGUUCUAUAAUCGAUGACCCACGUUAUACCCAACCAUUUUUUGCUUUCAGCCUGUAUACCUCCGUCGUAAGCUUACCCUAUGAAGAUAUUAUAGUAGGCCCAAUAGCCAAACGCCACAACGUCAGGUCAAGGUGCAGCUUAUAUAAUGGAAGUAAUGAGCUACAAUUUCUAAACCAGAACAAGCAGACACUAUAUGAAAACAUAGUGAUAAGAAGGAUUUAGCAGUAAAUAAAGAAUAGAGAGCUUUAUUAAAACUAGCAUGGGGUG